rnacentral:tRNA from 1 species
CGUCAGAUAGCUCAGUGGUUUAGAGCAGCCGCAGGGCAAGCGAAAGACCCGGGUUCGAUUCCCGGUAUAGCGA